rnacentral:rRNA from 1 species
UGGGGAAUAUUGGGCAAUGGGCGCAAGCCUGACCCAGCAACGCCGCGUGAGGGAAGAAGGUUUUCGGAUUGUAAACCUCUGUCGCAGGGGACGAAGGAAGUGACGGUACCUAACAAGAAAGCACCGGCUAACUACGUGCCAGCAGCCGCGGUAAAACGUAGGGUGCAAGCGUUGUCCGGAAUUACUGGGUGUAAAGGGAGCGCAGGCGGACCGGCAAGUUGGAAGUGAAAACUAUGGGCUCAACCCAUAAAUUGCUUUCAAAACUGCUGGCCUUGAGUAGUGCAGAGGUAGGUGGAAUUCCCGGUGUAGCGGUGGAAUGCGUAGAUAUCGGGAGGAACACCAGUGGCGAAGGCGACCUACUGGGCACCAACUGACGCUGAGGCUCGAAAGCAUGGGUAGCAAACAGGAUUAGAUACCCUGGUAGUCCAUGCCGUAAACGAUGAUUACUAGGUGUUGGAGGAUUGACCCCUUCAGUGCCGCAGUUAACACAAUAAGUAAUCCACCUGGGGAGUACGACCGCAAGGUUGAAACUCAAAGGAAUUGACGGGGGCCCGCACAAGCAGUGGAGUAUGUGGUUUAAUUCGAAGCAACGCGAAGAACCUUACCAGGUCUUGACAUCCGAUGCAUAGUGCAGAGAUGCAUGAAGUCCUUCGGGACAUCGAGACAGGUGGUGCAUGGUUGUCGUCAGCUCGUGUCGUGAGAUGUUGGGUUAAGUCCCGCAACGAGCGCAACCCUUAUUGCCAGUUACUACGCAAGAGGACUCUGGCGAGACUGCCGUUGACAAAACGGAGGAAGGUGGGGAUGACGUCAAAUCAUCAUGCCCUUUAUGACCUGGGCUACACACGUACUACAAUGGCGUUUAACAAAGAGAAGCAAGACCGCGAGGUGGAGCAAAACUCAAAAACAACGUCUCAGUUCAGAUUGCAGGCUGCAACUCGCCUGCAUGAAGUCGGAAUUGCUAGUAAUCGCGGAUCAGCAUGCCGCGGUGAAUACGUUCCC